rnacentral:rRNA from 1 species
UACGUAGGGGGCAAGCGUUGUCCGGAAUCAUUGGGCGUAAAGCGCGUGUAGGCGGUCCGGUAAGUCCGCUGUGAAAGUCGGGGGCUUAACCCUCGGAUGCCGGUGGAUACUGUCGGGCUUGAGUACGGAAGAGGCGAGUGGAAUUCCUGGUGUAGCGGUGAAAUGCGCAGAUAUCAGGAGGAACACCGGUGGCGAAGGCGGCAUCCUGGACCGGCAUUGACGCUGAGGCGCGAAAGCCAGGGGAGCAAACGGG